rnacentral:rRNA from 1 species
GAUGAACGCUGGCGGCGUGCCUAAUACAUGCAAGUCGAGCGGAGAGAUGAGGAGCUUGCUCCUCGGACGUGAUCGGCGGACAGGUGAGUAGCACGUCGAUAACCUACUUAUACGACUUGGAGGACAACGGGAAGCCGGUGCUGAUACCACGUGAUAUAUUGGGCCUCAUGGUUGAUUAGUGAAAGACGGUUUUGGUGUCGGUUGUAGAUGGGUCCGCGGCGCAUUAGCUAGUUGGUAAGGUGACGGCUUACCAAGGCGACGAUGCGUAGCCGACCUGAGAGGGUGAUGGGCGGCCCCAGAACUGAGAAGACGCCCAGACUCCUCCGGCAGGCAGCAGCAGGGAAUCUUACGCAAUGGGCGGAGGACUGCCGGAGCAGCGCCGCGUGAGUGAUGAAGGUCUUCGGCGCGUAGAACUCUGCUAUCAGGGAAGAAGAAAUGUGGACGUGACUAUGCACGGCUUGACGGUAGCUAAUCAGAAAGCGACGGCUAACUACGUG